CGUUCUAUGGCCGAAUUGGUAAAGGCAUCGCCGAUCACAGGCGAGUUUGCGGGUUAGAGUCCCGCUGGAACGG
rnacentral:tRNA from 1 species